UACGUAGGGUGCAAGCGUUUAUCCGGAAUUAUUGGGCGUAAAGAGCUCGUAGGCGGUUUGUCGCGUCUGCUGUGAAAACUCGGGGCUUAACCCCGGGCCUGCAGUGGGUACGGGCAGACUAGAGUGCGGUAGGGGAGACUGGAAUUCCUGGUGUAGCGGUGAAAUGCGCAGAUAUCAGGAGGAACACCGGUGGCGAAGGCGGGUCUCUGGGCCGAUAUCGACGUGAGGAGCGAAAGCGUGGGGAGCGAACAGG
rnacentral:rRNA from 1 species